UACAUUAAUGUGAUGGCAAUUUAACAUGUAAGUCUGAAUAAGAACCUGAGACACUUUUAAGUUUUUAAAGAAUAAAAAGUCUUCUUCCACCUUUUUAUAAUAGCAUUUUGAAUUCACAGCUGUUCUCUCUCACGCUCCAGUUGCCAAAUCGAUGUCUGAAUGAAGCCGUGAGGAACAUUAAAGUCACCUACAGUAAAAACAGGAGGCACUUUGGAUCCUCACUGCUGUUUAUUCAGCACAUUUAGAGUUCAAGAGGACAUUAUGAGGUGGAGGAGCCAAAGAAACUACAAUGUUUCGCAUUCACCUGACCUUGACGUGCUCGCCUUCAUCUGCAGCAAGAAGUUACCACAGUUUGGCUGAAAAUGUUACCACAACUUCCUAGAAAACCCAACAUGUAGCCACAAAAGAACAAGAAGCAUUUAAUAAGUAUAAUAAACCAGUGUUUGUAUA